rnacentral:rRNA from 1 species
AACGAACGCUGGCGGCAGGCUUAACACAUGCAAGUCGAACGCAUCCUUCGGGGUGAGUGGCAGACGGGUGAGUAACGCGUGGGAACGUGCCCUUCAGUUCGGGAUAACCCAGGGAAACUUGGGCUAAUACCGGAUACGUGCGAGAGCAGAAAGAUUUAUCGCUGAAGGAUCGGCCCGCGUCUGAUUAGCUAGUUGGUGGGGUAAUGGCCCACCAAGGCGACGAUCAGUAGCUGGUCUGAGAGGAUGAUCAGCCACAUUGGGACUGAGACACGGCCCAAACUCCGACGGGAGGCACCAGUGGGGAAUAUUGGACAAUGGGCGCAAGCCUGAGCCAGCCAUGCCGCGUGAGUGAUGAAGGCCUUAGGGUUGUAAAGCUCUUUCGUCCGGGACGAUAAUGACGGUACCGGAAGAAGAAGCCCCGGCUAACUUCGUGCCAGCCGCCGCCGUAA